rnacentral:rRNA from 1 species
AGCUCCAGUAGCGUAUAUUAAAGUUGUUGCAGUUAAAAAGCUCGUAGUUGGAUUUCUGACUUCAGAUGCCUGGCCCGCCUCUCUGAGUGUGAGUGCCGGAGCGUUUGUAUCAUCCUUCCAGAAAUUGUGUCUGCUCUAACCGGGUUGGACGCGAAAUCUGGAUCUUUUACUUUGAAGAAAUUGGAGUGUUUAAAGCAGGCUUACGCCAGAACAUAUUAGCAUGGAAUAAUAAUUUAGGACUUUUGUUCUAUUUUGUUGGUUUCUAGGACUUAAGUAAUGAUUGAUAGGGAUAGUUGGGGGUGCUAGUAUUCGGCGGCCAGAGGUGAAAUUCUUGGAUUCGCUGAAGACUAACUUAUGCGAAAGCAUUCACCAAGGAUGUCUUCUUUAAUCAAGAACGAAA